rnacentral:miRNA from 1 species
UAUUGCACUGGUCCCGGCCUGA